CUACGGGUUGCUGCAGUGGGGAAUAUUGGACAAUGGGGGAAAGCCUGAACCAGCCAUGCCGCGUGAAGGAUGACGGCCCUAUGGGUUGUAAACUUCUUUUAUACGGGAAGAAACACCUCUACGUGUAGAGGUUUGACGGUACCGUACGAAUAAGCAUCGGCUAACUCCGUGCCAGCAGCCGCGGUAAUACGGAGGAUGCCAGCGUUAUCCGGAUUUAUUGGGUUUAAAGGGUACGUAGGCGGAAACUUAAGUCAGUAGUGAAAUCCCGCAGCUUAACUGUGGAACUGUUAUUGAUACUGGGUUUCUUGAAUAUUGUUGAGGUAGGCGGAAUAAGUAAUGUAGCGGUGAAAUGCUUAGAUAUUACAUAGAAUACCAAUUGCGAAGGCAGAUCACUAACUAUAUACCGACGCUGAUGGACGAAAGCGUGGGGAGCGAACGGGAUUAGAUACCCGCGUAGUC
rnacentral:rRNA from 1 species